GACGAACGCUGGCGGCGUGCUUAACACAUGCAAGUCGAACGGAAAGGCCCUGCUUUUGUGGGGUGCUCGAGUGGCGAACGGGUGAGUAACACGUGAGUAACCUGCCCUUGACUUUGGGAUAACUUCAGGAAACUGGGGCUAAUACCGGAUAGGAGCUCCUGCUGCAUGGUGGGGGUUGGAAAGUUUCGGCGGUUGGGGAUGGACUCGCGGCUUAUCAGCUUGUUGGUGGGGUAGUGGCUUACCAAGGCUUUGACGGGUAGCCGGCCUGAGAGGGUGACCGGCCACAUUGGGACUGAGAUACGGCCCAGACUCCUACGGGAGGCAGCAGUGGGGAAUAUUGCACACUGGGCGGAAGCCUGAUGCAGCAACGCCGCGUGCGGGAUGACGGCCUUCGGGUUGUAAACCGCUUUCGCCUGUGACGAAGCGUGAGUGACGGUAAUGGGUAAAGCAGCACCGGCUAACUACGUG
rnacentral:rRNA from 1 species